rnacentral:rRNA from 1 species
UACGUAGGGGGCGAGCGUUGUCCGGAAUCAUUGGGCGUAAAGAGCGUGUAGGCGGUCCGGUAAGUCGGCUGUGAAAGUCCAGGGCUCAACCCUGGGAUGCCGGUCGAUACUGCCGGACUAGAGUUCGGAAGAGGCGAGUGGAAUUCCCGGUGUAGCGGUGAAAUGACGCAGAUAUCAGGAGGGAACACCGGUGGCGAAGGCGGGUCGCUGGGC